rnacentral:rRNA from 1 species
UCCGGUGUCGAUGCGCUUGUGGGAAACACCCGUUCCCAUCCCGAACACGACGGUUAAGACGCAGGCGGCCGAUGGUACUGCAUUGGAGACGAUGUGGGAGAGCAGGCGGGCGCCGGAU